GACGAACGCUGGCGGCGUGCCUAAUACAUGCAAGUCGAACGAGAGCGACCGGUGCUUGCACUGGUCAAUCUAGUGGCGAACGGGUGAGUAACACGUGGGUAACCUGCCCAUCAGAGGGGGAUAACAUCCGGAAACGGAUGCUAGAACCGCAUAGGUCUUCGAGCCGCAUGGCUUGAAGAGGAAAAGAGGCGCAAGCUUCUGCUGAUGGAUGGACCCGCGGUGCAUUAGCUAGUUGGUGAGGUAACGGCUCACCAAGGCCGUGAUGCAUAGCCGACCUGAGAGGGUGAUCGGCCACAUUGGGACUGAGACACGGCCCAAACUCCUACGGGAGGCAGCAGUAGGGAAUCUUCCGCAAUGGACGCAAGUCGGACGGAGCAACGCCGCGUGAGUGAAGAAGGUUUUCGGAUCGUAAAACUCUGUUGUUAGAGAAGAACAAGUGCUAGAGUAACUGUUAGCGCCUUGACGGUAUCUAACCAGAAAGCCACGGCUAACUACGUG
rnacentral:rRNA from 1 species